rnacentral:rRNA from 1 species
GGGCGUAAGAGCUCGUAGGUGGUCGAUCACGUCGGAUGUGAAAAUCUGAGGCUUAACCUCAGACCUGCAUUCGAUACGGGUUGACUAGAGUGUGGUAGGGGAGACUGGAAUUCCUGGUGUAGCGGUGGAAUGCGCAGAUAUCAGGAGGAACACCGAUGGCGAAGGCAGGUCUCUGGGCCAUUACUGACACUGAGGAGCGAAAGCGUGGGGAGCGAACAGGAUUAGAUACCCUGGUAGUCCACGCCGUAAACGGUGGGCGCUAGUUGUGGGAACCUUCCACGGUUUCUGCGACGCAGCUAACGCAUUAAGCGCCCCGCCUGGGGAGUACGGUCGCAAGACUAAAACUCAAAGAAAUUGACGGGGCCCCGCACAAGCAGCGGAGCAUGCGGCUUAAUUCGACGCAACGCGAAGAACCUUACCAAGGCUUGACAUAUACAGGAAUACGGCAGAGAUGUCGUAGCCGCAAGGUCUGUAUACAGGUGGUGCAUGGUUGUCGUCAGCUCGUGUCGUGAGAUGUUGGGUUAAGUCCCGCAACGAGCGCAACCCUCGUCCUGUGUUACCAGCAUUUAGUUGGGGACUCACAGGAGACUGCCGGGGUCAACUCGGAGGAAGGUAAU